rnacentral:lncRNA from 1 species
UUGAAUUUUAGAAUUCACAUUUCAAUGGUUCUCAAGCCUGGCUGCCUGUUAGAGUUACCUGGGGCAACUUUCAAAAGCACUCAUGCUCCAGAUCCACCCCCUGGAAAUUCUGAUUUAGUUUCCUGAGGGAGGAGCCCAAGCACUGGGACUUUGGAAAGCUCCCAGAUUAUUCUAAUGUGCAGCAGUGGGUUGAGACGCAUAGCUGCAGUGGAGGAAGUUAAAGCUAGUGCUGUGUGUGCCUUUCCUUAAGGUCUUAAAACAAAAUCUCCUUUCCAAAUCUAUUGUUUAAACCUGAGCCUCCAGCCUGAUGUUAGAGGGUAUCUUUGGAUGCAGAGGCCAAGAGAAGGAAUGGAAAAACUAAAUUGUCCUGUCAGGUGUUCUUCCCCCGAUUCUAUUUGUCUUAUGUCUCUCAGAUAGAAGGGGUGGGGGCUGAUUCUACGUGAGAACUCACCAUCCAGACCUACCUUCCUGCUCAUCUGAUUUUCCCUCCAUGAACUUUCCCAGCUCAUUCAACACCUACCAUCUUCUUAGCAACUGGCAUGCAAGUAAGACAUCUCUUUCCUCAAGAAAUCUUGAUCUGCAUCAUUCUUCAAGGCUCAGCCAAGACAAGUCUUGUCUCCUCCAUGAGUCUUUCCCUGGUGGACUCCAUCCUGAGAUUUCGUUUUUCCUCACUUAUUGGUAUCUAUGACACAAACAGUGCCUUGAGGCAUCAAGCUUUUUUACCUGUUUCUUCAGAAAAUCUUGGAGCUUCCAGGAGGUCUUUCUUUGGAGACCCUCACCCACGCUUCAGCCCAUAAGGACAAGAGAGUGCUUCCUUUCAACACUAUAAGGACCCUACCAUAUAUCUUGGUUUGAGUGUAUUGUUCAUAUUUUUUGGUGGACUUUAGCCUUCUUGAGAACACAGACCUUGCCUACCUCUAUCCUUAUUUCAAGAACUGACAAUGCUGCUCCACACCAUUUUUUGUUCAACAUGUAGUUCUUGAGUGGAUGUCUUGUGCCUCCUAGCUUGGUCUAUGUGUAAUAAAACUUGACAUCAAUUUAUUCA